GUGCUCACUUUGACAGCACAAAGACUAAAAUCAGAAGGAUAUGGAGAAGAUUACCUUGGCUGCAGCACAAAGUUGACACACUCAUGAAAGUUUCCAUAUUUUU
ensembl:snRNA U6 U6 spliceosomal RNA